rnacentral:lncRNA from 1 species
CUUUUGAACUCUCUGUGUAAAUCACUUCUUUCUACUUACUUGCUGUGCUUCUCUGAGUGCCUCGUGGCCUCUUUAUCACCACCUGUUGAAGGAAAUGUUAGAUCCAGAUAUGGAUGGAAGGACUUUCAUAGCUAUAGAAACGAGGACUGAUUGGCACAAAGUUCCUGGGCUCUCCAGCCACAGUCGUCAUUUGGAAGGGAAUUCUAAGUCACCAGAGAGCUAACACUUAUUCUUGGGAGAAUGUAAGAGCAAAUCCUCCUUACGCUGCCAAACUGGCACAGGAUACUGCAGCCACUCUGCAAAUGAACAGUGCACAAUAAACAGGCCAAGGGAGAAAGCUUAAAGUUCUAAAAGCCCUCUUGAGGGAAGUGAGAAGGCAGUUCCUGGGAACAGCGAACAAAUGCUGUCAGAAAGUGGAAUCAUUGAUUUCUAUCAUGAAUGAUUAAUGAUCGUGAUGGUGUGGUUUAGAACAGAAAUGCAGCUUCUACAGCCUGAAGAACUACCAGCCUUCUCUCCUGUGAUGUUCCAUUUAUACUUGCUUAAUA